rnacentral:ncRNA from 1 species
GCAGAGUAGGCUGCAGCGCGUAAAGUGCCGUCUGAACGGGGAGUUGUCAGACGGACGAAAAGAGCUUAAAAGGGCUCUUGCGGUGCUUCGGCCGCAUCCCGUUG